UUUACUCAAAUUUGUAUGGACUUGGAAUGUUUGCCUGUGUUUGCCGCUAGGGGCGCUGUUUCAACUGCAUACAAGAGUUA
rnacentral:pre_miRNA from 1 species